rnacentral:lncRNA from 1 species
UAGCUAAAUCCUAGCAACUUCAUAGCAAAUCUGGAAAUGCUAUGAAGUUCAUCUUCUUCCUCAUGCACACGAUGAACAAAUUUCCAGAAAACCAAAAAGAUGUCCAGAAAUCACAAAUAGAUACACCAUUCGAAUCAUCAUUCCAUGCACAUCAAAGAUCAACAAUCAAUUCAUGCAAAAACUUCAUAACAAGCUUGGAUCGAAGGAAAUAAGAUUUGUCACCAAAAC